CUACGGGGGGCUGCAGUGGGGAAUAUUGCACAAUGGAGGAAACUCUGAUGCAGCAACGCCGCGUGGAGGAUGACGCAUUUCGGUGUGUAAACUCCUUUUAUAUGGGAAGAUAAUGACGGUACCAUAUGAAUAAGCACCGGCUAACUCCGUGCCAGCAGCCGCGGUAAUACGGAGGGUGCAAGCGUUACUCGGAAUCACUGGGCGUAAAGCGCGCGCAGGCGGGUUUGUAAGUUGGAUGUGAAAUCCUAUGGCUUAACCAUAGAACUGCAUCCAAAACUACUUACCUAGAGUCUGGGAGGGGAAGAUGGAAUUAGUGGUGUAGGGGUAAAAUCCGUAGAGAUCACUAGAAAUACCAAAAGCGAAGGCGAUCUUCUGGAACAGUACUGACGCUGAGGCGCGAAAGCGUGGGGAGCAAACAGGAUUAGAUACCCCGGUAGUC
rnacentral:rRNA from 1 species